rnacentral:rRNA from 1 species
AGAGUUUGAUCCUGGCUCAGGAUGAACGCUAGCUACAGGCUUAACACAUGCAAGUCGAGGGGCAGCAUGGACCCAGCUUUGCUGGGUUUGAUGGCGACCGGCGCACGGGUGAGUAACGCGUAUCCAACCUGCCCUUUACUCCGGGAUAGUCUCCUGAAAGGGAGUUUAAUACCGGAUGUGUUUGUCUUUCCGCAUGGGAGCGACAAAUAAAGAUUAAUUGGUAAAGGAUGGGGAUGCGUCCCAUUAGCUUGUUGGCGGGGUAACGGCCCACCAAGGCGACGAUGGGUAGGGGUUCUGAGAGGAAGGUCCCCCACAUUGGAACUGAGACACGGUCCAAACUCCUACGGGAGGCAGCAGUGAGGAAUAUUGGUCAAUGGGCGAGAGCCUGAACCAGCCAAGUAGCGUGAAGGACGACGGCCCUACGGGUUGUAAACUUCUUUUAUAAGGGAAUAAAGUUCGCCACGUGUGGUGUUUUGUAUGUACCUUAUGAAUAAGCAUCGGCUAAUUCCGUGCCAGCAGCCGCGGUAAUACGGAAGAUGCGAGCGUUAUCCGGAUUUAUUGGGUUUAAAGGGAGCGUAGGCGGGCUUUUAAGUCAGCGGUCAAAUGCCACGGCUCAACCGUGGCCAGCCGUUGAAACUGUAAGCCUUGAGUCUGCACAGGGCACAUGGAAUUCGUGGUGUAGCGGUGAAAUGCUUAGAUAUCACGAAGAACUCCGAUCGCGAAGGCAUUGUGCCGGGGCAGCACUGACGCUGAGGCUCGAAAGUGCGGGUAUCAAACAGGAUUAGAUACCCUGGUAGUCCGCACGGUAAACGAUGAAUGCUCGCUAUGGGCGAUAUAUUGUCCGUGGCCAAGCGAAAGCGUUAAGCAUUCCACCUGGGGAGUACGCCGGCAACGGUGAAACUCAAAGGAAUUGACGGGGGC